CUCUGUGAUUGUUCUCCCUGAAAUUGAUCACAUCCAUUUCCAUAGCUGCAGUUAGUAUCUUUACGCCAUUAACUCUCAAGUUAAUUUUAUCUCAGUCUCUGUUUAAAGCUCUGGGUUUUUAUCAGCAUAACCUGUUGUCUAUCUCAUGAUCAUGCAGGUAAGUUCAAAAUUCAAUUAAUUCAUUCUGCCCUCCCAUCCUCCCUAAACAUGCUCCUACCGCUGUUUUCUGUCUUAGGCAGAGCUCUAGCCAAAAAUCUGGGCACUUCUUUAACACUCCUCUCUCCCUCCCCUCUGGUUCCCAGUCACAGAAUAGACCCUCUGUGCUGAAGUCUCCUCACUGUGUCAGGUCUGUCCAGUCUCUCCAUCUUCCUCCCUCCACCCCCACCCCCCAUCCGUGCCCCCGCCACUGCCUUCCUCCGGACACCAUCACCCCUUGCCUGCAUUGCUCCUUGGGCCUUCAGCCUUACCCAUCUCCACUCCAUUCUCCACACUGUAACUGGAGCGAUUUUUAUAAAAAGGCAAGUCUGAUCCUGCCGCUCCACCGGUUAAAACUCUUCCAGUAGCACUGCUUAACUCCCUGCAUGGUUUACAAGCCCUAUGUGGUCUUGCCCCUGCUGAACUUCCCCUCUUCCCUCAGCCUGUGCCCCUCCCCCAUGCUCUGGGUUCCAGCCAACCUGUUCUAUUUCAGUUCCUCUGAUGGGUCACGCUACUGUCUCUUACCUGUGUAUCCCGGGGUGUUUUCCACCAUCUUUUUAUCCAACUCCUGUUCAUCCUCACUAUCAAAAACUCCAGAGAGGUAGUUGGUUGGUAUGAUUAUAUUGCCAGAGGUACUCUUAUAGCUCUGUAGAGGUUAAUUUUUAAAAAGUUGAAUGGGAUGAACUUGUAGCUCCUUUGCUUCCUGCACUCAGUUGCUGCUGUCAAGCUUCAAUUCCAUGGUCUAUCAUGUUUAUCCUCCUCAAAUACAACUUUAGUGGCCUUGCUCCUCAUCUUCUAUGUGUGUCAAAGCCCCAGGUAUGUCUCCCCUUUCUGCCUACUCUGUGUCGGUACCCAGACUAUUGAAUAUGGCUUAAGAAAAGCACAAAGCUAUGGUGACUGAUCUUACUUUGAAAUUAAGAAUCACAUCUCAAGUGGGCCCUCGGUAUUCCUUGGCAUCAGUAUUUUCUGGUAUUCCUUCUGUAUUUCCUUAGUUUAGCCAGUUUACUCUCCUGCUAAGAUGACUAGUUCCUCUUCGUUCUCCUCAGAUCUCCAGCACCACCUCUUCCAGUCCACCCUCCCUCACCAGCAGCUGACGACCUGGAAUCAGGAUUUCAUUGAGAAAAUAGAAGUAGUCGGAAGAGAACAGCCACCAAAUGUAGCAUUUGUUGAUGAGUGAAAGAAUACGAUAUCCCAGAACUUGAUUUACUCCCAUAUGCAAAUAGCAUUGGCAACUUAGAUUCCAAAACUGUAUAUAAAUCUAUUUUUGGCCAUUUUAGAUUAUGCUUUUCACUACCACUGUCCUUUACGUUACUAUAACCAAGAGUUGUUAAUAUGUUUGUGCCGUAUCCAAAUAAAAAUUAGGUAUUUUUAAGAAGAUGAUCAUUAACAGGAACAGUUUAUAAAAUAAGCACUUAAGUCAUUCAACACAGGAAAUUAAGAGAAGAAAUCCUUUGGAACUAUGUUUGAUUAUGCUGUCCACCCACAAUUGUUCUUAUAUAAGUUCUAGAGGAAGGAAAAAAGAUGUGAAUGACUUACAAAUGAAGACAAAGUCUUAAACUUUGUGGAAAGUGGAGGGAAAAUGUUGAGAACAAGUCCUGUGAUGGUUUCGCCCUCACACUUUGGGAAAAUUAGAUAACAGAAUUUAGUUAUAAAUAUGUUGGCUUUCUCUUUUUUUUUUUUUUAAUAUCUUUUUAUUUAUUUUGAGAGAGAGAGAGAGAGAGAGAGAG